rnacentral:rRNA from 1 species
GAUGAACGCUAGCGGCAGGCUUAACACAUGCAAGUCGAGGGGUAGAGGCUUUCGGGCCUUGAGACCGGCGCACGGGUGCGUAACGCGUAUGCAAUCUGCCUUGUACUGGGGGAUAGCCCAGAGAAAUUUGGAUUAAUACCCCAUAGUAUUUUCGGUUGGCAUCAACUGAUUAUUAAAGUUUUUCGGUACAAGAUGAGCAUGCGUCCCAUUAGCUAGUUGGUAUGGUAACGACAUACCAAGGCUACGAUGGGUAGGGGUCCUGAGAGGGGUAUCCCCGACACGAGUACUGGGACACGGACCAGAGUCAUACGGGAGGAAGCAGUUGGGAAUAUUGGUCAAUGGUCGCAAGACUGAACCAGCCAUGCCGCGUGCAGGAUGAAGAAUCUAUGGUGUGUAAACUGCUUUUGUACGGGAAGAAACACCCCUACGUGUAGGGGCUUGACGGUACCGUAAGAAUAAGGAUCGGCUAACUCCGUGCCAGCAGCCGCGGUAAGAC